GGGAUCAUAUGUUUACAGGAGACCAAAAGAGAGGGGUUUGACUUGUCUUAUGUUCAUAACUUCUGCCUACACAGAUUUAAUAAAUUUGAGUACCUUCCUUCUGUUGGGGCUUCUGGAGGUAUUAUUAUAAUCUGGGUUGGCUCUCUUUUUCAUGGAGAAGUACUAUUCCAAAACAAGUUUUCUCUCUCAAUGAAAUUCACUUGUAACAUCUCCAACCAGUCUUGGGUUUUGACAAACAUCUAUGGUCCCAGUAACCAGGAAGACAAAGCUGAAUUUCUGCAGUGGUUUAGUAACAUCCAAAUUCCCCCUGAUGUGGAUUGGAUAGUGAUGGGUGACUUCAAUUUUAUCAGAUCCCCAAGUGAC
rnacentral:rRNA from 1 species